UUGGAGUGGCAAACUUGUAAUAAGUCCAAAACCCACUUCUUUAUCAAUAUGGCCGGCCAUAGGGUGUUAUUGGGCUAUUUGGGCCUUUGUGAACAUUUAGUCAUUAAGUUGUCAUACAACUUAAGUCAAUGGGCUUGACGUUCGAAGCCCAUUGGGCCUUAAGGCCCAAAACUAACCCGAGGUCUUUAAUGAACUUUAUUCGUUUGAUUAAUUAAGAUAUUAAUUAAUCCUUGCCAUAAAUAAUUAAACAAUUUAAUUAUCCUUACUCAUCUCCGUUGUUUCUUCAAUCUCUGCCUUACACAGUGUACAAUCCAUUAGGUUCCUUUUAGCGAGGCAGUGGGUGAUUAGAACUCUUUCAAAUCGAUUAUGA
rnacentral:lncRNA from 1 species